UCUGCGAGUAAAGGCGGAGUGAGGAAAAAUCAAUUUAAGGAGUUUUAAGCGAACGAGGUUGAGCAGUGAUGACGGCGAGCGGCGUUGAGCAUAGACGAUGAAGAUCCUUCGAUAGAAUAGUACUUGGAUGCGUCGUGUCUCCAUACACGAUGUCAUCUGCUCUUGACUCUUCCGCUGCAAUGUAAAAGUCGAGAUUUCAUUC